UACGGAGGGGGCUAGAGUUAUUCGGAAUCACUGGGCGUAAAGCGCACGUAGGCGGAUCGAUAAGUCGGGGGUGAAAGCCCGGGGCUUAACAUCGGAAUUGCCUUCGAUACUGUCGGUCUCGAGUCCGGUAGAGGUCAGUGGAAUUCGUAGUGUAGAGGUGAAAUUCGUAGAUAUUAGGAAGAACACCAGUUGCGAAGGCGGCUCACUGGCCCUAUACUGACGCUCAGGUGCGAAAGCGUGGGGAGCGAACAGG
rnacentral:rRNA from 1 species